rnacentral:lncRNA from 1 species
AUGUGUUUCUUUCUUUUUACCAAACAGGAAAGCAGAAUGAGACAAGAAAGUAGAUCGUGCUCAGAAAAUAAGCUAGUUAAAAGAAACAGUAGCCCUGUUUCUGAAUUCAGUGAGCAACAAAGUCAGGAUGAUCCUUCUGGAAGCUUCAGAUUAAUGCAGGACAUACAGACCAAGAUGGACUCUGGUUCUCUACUGCAUUCUUAUGCCACACCAUGGAUACCGGAAGCAGAACAGCGAGGUGGUGCUGAUUCUGUCAAAGAUCCAGAGAAGCAAACAGAUAGAAACCCUGAAUGCAGUAUUUCACAACUGGAAGCCUGCUUUGACCUUUCAGCAUGCCCUAUUAAAGACAUACAGGAUAUAGAGUCUGAAUCUGGCUCAAGUCUUUUGAGAUCUUCCAGCCAUCAGGAAAUGGAGAAAGAGAAGUCUGGAGUGAAAACAAGUAAUUCUGAAAAACAAUUCAUGAGAGAGAAAGAAGAGACUUUCCAGCCAACAGAGAGUGGGAAAGCAGCAGCUGGCAAGAGCUUUGGUAUUGACACAGGAGUUGCAGAGAUCAAAGCCACAAAGAGCAUCAGUCACAAGUUGACAAAGAUGGACCAAACAUCCAAAAAACAGAAGAUCAGUAAUAAGAACAAGCAAUAUCGCAAAACAGAAUUUGUCAUCGGUAAGGGUAAUAAACAAAAAGCAGAUCUUAUUUUCAACAUCUUGCUUUCUUCAUGUGCAGCUUUCUAAUUGUUUCAAUGGGAGAUACAGCAAGAGUAUACAAAGGAUUAGUAUAUUAUAUUUAAUUUCUGUAAAAGAGAACAACAGAGGAUCCAGCCAACUUUUUGUGUGUAUGCACUUUUGCUUGCUGGUUGUUUGCAAGAUCAAGGGCCAAGGAAAAUUCUGGUGUUUAGGGAUUUUUUAGUUUUUGUGAAUGGUAAUGAUUAACUUACUAAAAUCAAUUCCACUAUUACUAAUCUUCAAACAAGAUACAGCAAGUGUCACUAACAGGAAGAAAUUUCAACUACAUUUCAUGUAGGUGUAUGUGGAAGGGUUUUUGUUGUUGUUCAAGUACCAGAAGUCAGGAAUUACAAGUUGUGUUAACAAGCAGACACCAUA